GACGAACGCUGGCGGCGUGCUUAACACAUGCAAGUCGAACGAAGUGGCGAACGGGUGAGUAAUACGUGGGUAACCUGCCCUCCUUUUUGGGAUAAGCCUUGGAAACGGGGUCUAAUACCGAAUAAAGGGGGAUGGGCUCGGGGUCUAUCAGCUUGUUGGUGGGGUGUUGGCCUACCAAGGCGGUGACGGGUAGCCGGCCUGAGAUGGUGACCGUCCACAGUGGGCAUGGGAGAAUGCCCAGAGUCCCACGGGAGGCAGAUGUGGGGGAUAUGGCACAAUGCGCGACAGCCCGAUCCAGGUAUGUCGCGUGGGGGAUGAAGUCUUUUGGGUUGUAAACCUCUUUCGCUAUCGAACGGGUACGUGGAGAAGAAGCGCCGGCUAACUACGUGCCAGCCGCCGCGGUAAUUC
rnacentral:rRNA from 1 species